rnacentral:rRNA from 1 species
AGAGUUGAUCAGUGGCUACAGGACGAACGCUGGCGGCGUGCUUCAUACAUGCAAGUCGAACGAGAAGCUUACUCGGUAAGUGGAAAGUGGCGGACGGGUGAGUAAUGUGUAGAGAAUCUGCCCUGAAGUGGGGGGACAACAGAGGGAAACUUCUGCUAAUACCCCAUAUGAGCGUAGUUGAGAUACUAUUCUUGAAAGAUUUAUCGCUUCAGGAUGAGUCUGCAUCUGAUUAGCUAGUUGGAGGUGUAAUGGACCACCAAGGCGACGACCAGUAGCUGGUUUGAGAGGAUGAUCAGCCACAAUGGGACUGAGACACGGCCCAUACUCCUACGGGAGGCAGCAGUAGGGAAUUUUGCGCAAUGGGCGAAAGCCUGACGCAGCAAACCGCCGCGUGAUCGCAGACGGCCUUCGGGUUGUAAAGAUCUGUCAGUAGGGACGAACAAUGACUGUACCUACAGAGGAAGCACCGGCUAACUCCGUGCCAGCAGCGGC